UGUUAAAAAUUUAAUUUAUUUGUACUAUUAAAAACUGACAUGACUAACAGAAUAACUAGACAGUAACACGUGAUGUGCACAAUAACGUAUAGAACUAGUUUUUAACAGUUGAAAUUGAUGAAAUUUUUAACA
rfam:Gossypium arboreum cultivar AKA8401 contig_30759_5, whole genome shotgun sequence.